CCUAGAAAUGCAGGUUUGGUCCCACCACUUGAACAGCUGUAGAAUGACAAUAAGAUGGUAUGGGCAGUUUUUCUUUGCCAAGCAAAUUGCUGAAACUCAACACCAGCACAGUGGAGUCCACCAAUGGAAAACCAAAGUUUGGAACACCACAUCACCUGAAAGCAUCGCUGAUCUACAAGGUUCUUCAUUGUUCUGCCUACAAGAACCUCUGCUUAUUCUUUAGAGCUCAGCUGCCCACUGGACUCAGCUUUGUUCCAGAAAAUGCCACCAUAACACCGUGCUUCCAACAGCAAAAGGACAGACAGGAGAAAUCCCUGCUGCCUACCCAGACCUUGAGAGACUUCUUGGGACACCAGGAACCAGGAGCCUUUCCCUCUCUGUGCUGGGGAGGAGAGCUACAGGCCAUGGAGAGAGUUUGCAGCUGCCUUUGCAAACCAUCCCAGCCCUGCAGUGGUGGGCCAGCUCCCUGUCUGCAUUGCAGGUCACACCAUCAGCACCAGCACACCGGCUGGCACAGCCCAGGGAGCAGCAAAGCCUGACCUGGCACAGGGAGGAGGAGAGCAGGGCUGGGAAAUGCUUUCACCCAGGUCUACCACUGAAGCCACCACAUUGUACAACCUCAUCCUGCAAGGCUGCAGCAGCUCAAGGAUCCUGAAGAAAUCAUCCUUUGCUGCCAAGACACGUUUCUCUCUAGCAGGGACAGGAAUUCCUAUUUCCUGGGAACAAGGGAAGCUCACUAAAAACUGUUGCUUGUGUAUGACCUGCUGUCCAUUGUAGCUUCUCUAAUAAAAGCACCCAUUUCAAUCA
rnacentral:lncRNA from 1 species